rnacentral:lncRNA from 1 species
GUUGUUCUGGUAUUCUGUCCCUGAAAGGGGGAUGUUCUUUUAGUACUGUAUAUCCUGAGAUUGGGCAAAACAUGAAAGCAAAAUCAUAAGGAGCUGUAUUACUGCCUGGUUCUUAGUAAGAUAAUAGAGAGUCUCAGAGGGUAAAUAUAAGCUGCUUUUUUACUUACUUUCUUAACGUUGUUUUCUGUGUUUUGUGCAUUCUGAACAGUGCAGGCAGGAAAACAGAAAUUGGCCUUUCUUCUCGGAAUACUUAAAAUUUCACUGAAAGCACAUCUCCAUGCCUUUUCAGCCCUGCAGAAACAUGUCUAAGUUUGUACAGCACUGAACAGAACAAGACCUUGGGCCCGUGACUGUCGAUUUCAGGCCCUGCUGCAGUACAAAUAAUUGACAGGAGUUAUUUGUUGUGAGAAAGCAGAUCCGUUCUCGAUCAGUGAUACCCAGUGAAAUGUAGGCAAGGUUUCAAAACAGAAAUCGGAGUCAGAGCCCGCCCAAGCUGUGUUGGAACUUUGCUCUGCUUCCUUUGAACCACUCCCUUUCCAUCAGAGAGGAAACGUGUGGCACGUACUGAGCUCAUGGGGCUGCUUGACCUGCCACUUCUGCCGUGUUUGUUCACUUCCCAGUCUUGGACAUCCAGUCACUAGUUCCUUAGUUCCUGCAGAGAUCCAGCACUGGCAUGAGAAACUUCUAAGCAUUAGGCUGCCCUGUGUGCUUGGCACCAAAUUCAGACAAUUUUGGGAACAGUUCAGAUCUUCUGGAGGCUGGUUGUUGGUAUAUACCACAGUGUUCAAAUGGAUAAUGAGCUUGUCUUCAGCCUGUAGAGAUACAAAACACCACAUUUUAACACCUGUGGAACAUCUGACAGCACAGCAAACUGACAACCAGAGCAGUGACUGAAAGCAAAUAUCCCUGCUGUCCUGUGGCUACAGUGUGUAUGCAUGGCUUGCACACCCUAGUUAGCCUCUGGGUAAAAGAAGGGUUGCUACCUCUGUGUGGUGCUAUGCUGAAGCCAGUUGGCUCUUUUAGCUGUGCUGCUUCCAGAGCCCAAGGGAUUUUGGCUGUCCAAGUGUAUGGGAAGACAAGUGUCUGUAACCUGCUGUUUGGGAACUUUCCAAAGAAACAGGGAAGAGCAGAGCCCAUUUCUCCCACUUUUGAAGGACCAGGGCACCUGGAAAGCAACACGAUUUGUUUUGUGAAGAAAGGUUUGACCACUGCAUUGAUCACUGUUCAGCAGUGA